rnacentral:lncRNA from 1 species
GAGGCACCAAGCAGAGGUACCAAAGGUUAGUCCCUGGCCUCUGAGGAGAUAGAAGCUACCUUGGGAAGGGGAAGGCCAUGGCACGUUUGUCCAGAAGGUCUCAGUUACUUGUUCCCAAGUCAAGGCCAAAAUGCCACAAAAGGAGCCGGUCUGCGAAGACCCUUAAGGAAAAGUCAGGAACCAUUGCUGUUUCUGGGAGUGGGGUCCUUUCAUUCUGGCUGUCCCUGUUGCAUAAGUACAGCACUCCUGCCCACCCCAUUCCUGUCCUCUUGUUUCCUCAGCCCAGUGCAGGGCUUUAAACGUGCAAAGGCUUUCCAUUCCUCUGAAGUAAUGUGGGAGGUUAAGACAAGGUUCUAAGAAGAUCCCUGAGCCGUUUUUAUACCAUCAGUGCCCGUUCCAUUUCGGUGAGCACACAUACCUCAGUGCCUCCCUUCCGUGCUGGCCACCUCUCCAGCUCUGUCAGGGCCAUCAGAGAGCUGCAGAGGAUCCAUUCCCUUCAUCCCUUCAGUAACAGACACCGAGGAAGGAAUCCAUGCUCACAGGACAGAGAGUGGUCUCGUGGCUAACAGUGAGCUAAGUGAAAAAGAAAAAGAAAGUGACGUGCUAUGUGUGUGUGUACAUACAUAGUAAAUAAAUGCUUUGGUGCCG